UGAUGAAGAAGAAAACGAUUAACAUCUACUGAAGGAUGUUGAUGAGAAAGAUUCACAUCUACUGAUGGAUGCUGGAAGAGUUUGAGAGAGCAUCUACUAAUGGAUGCUGCUAUGGAAGAGGAUGGUGUCUACACAUCUACUGAGGGAUGUUAGGUGAUUAGGCAUCUACUGAUGGAUGCCAAUGAAGAUGAGAAAGAUUGGUGUCUACUGAGGGAUACCAAUAAAGACAAGAAUAAUUAGCAUCUACUGAUGGAUGCUAUGAUGAUGGAGACUGGGUCAAGCUAGUGACGUUAAAGAAGGGCUUGUUGGGAGGCAACCCAGUUCUCUGAACUUUACUUUUUAAUUUUUAAUUUUUGUUUAUGCUUUAUUUUAUUUUGCUUUGCUUGAAUGAA
rnacentral:lncRNA from 1 species